AUCUUCCCAGUGGGGUAAAUAGUUAUCAAAGUUAGCCAAGAUCCAAAUUCCGUUCAAUUCAAAUGCAACAUAUUGGUUUUUUGUAAAAAAAAUUAUUGUGAUAAAAAUCUUACUGAGUUCCUCCGAAAUCAUAUUUGAAUAAAUCUUAGUUCUUACAAGAUGUGAAUGACUGUCGGUUAAAAAGAAAGAGGAAAUAUACCAAAAGGGACAUUCUAAAAGAGGGACGAAAGAUAUCAGAGGGACAGUCAAACUCAUAAAUCGAAAAUAAACUGACAACGCCAUGGCUAAAAAUGGAAAAGACAAACAGACAAACAAUAGUACACAUGAUACAACAUAGAAAACUAAAGAAUAAGCAACACGAACUCAUACGUCGAAAAUAAACUGACAUAGCCAAGGCAAAUAAAGGAAAAAUGACAAUAAACUUUACACAAUACACAACACAGAAAACACUGAAUAAUCGAUCAUUGCUCAAAUAUUUUUUGAUGAAUCGGCUUCUCAAUUACUCAUACUUGCGCCAGAGUAAAAAUAAAUAAAUAUCUAAUCUGUACUAUAAAAGCAAAC
rnacentral:lncRNA from 1 species